UUGGCUCUUCCUUUUUGGAGUUUAGGGGAUACUACUUUCUAUGGCUCUGGACUUUUGCAACACUUUUGUUUAAUUUGUUUUAUUUCCAGUUAGACCAUUGUUUCUUUUUCUUUGUUGGAGUUUUUGAAGUUCUUUUUACUUUGACCCAAGCAUCUCAACUUGUUUGUCUCUUUUUGUGUUUGUAUUCGUUUACUCACUUGUACGGAUAGAUGGGAGUCUUGGUCUUAUGUAGGGCAUGCUUAUUUCAUCGAUUUUAGUAGUUUCAGGUAUGAUGAGGGUGCUAAGGAGAUGUCAACCUAGUCGAGAUGUUUGGGUGCAUUCCUAAUCUUUUGUUCCUUUGUAAUUCUAGCUCUUAUUAGUGAGGAGGCUUGUUUCCAUUUAAAAAAAAAUCCAAUAACAUCGAACUGAGAAAGUUAGGUUUUUGACGUGGUCUAAAGGGCUAAGGUUCCUAAGAAAGUUAGGUUCAUUUUCUGGCUAGUCUUGCUUGGUCGUGUUAACACCAUGGAUCGGCUUGUUAGGAAGCGGACUUUUCUUGUCAGACCUUUUUGCUACAUGCUUUGUCAGAAAGCAGAGGAAGAUCUUGAUAAUCUAUUUUGGGACUGCAAUUAUGCAAGGGCAGUGUGAAGUUUUUUCCUUCAAGAGUUUGGUGUUAGUUUUGCUGGCUCUUCGUGUGUUAGAGCGACGAUCGAGGAGUUCCUCCUCCAUCAGCCUUUCAAAGACAAAGGGGGUUUUUUAUGGUUGGCCGGGGUGUGUGCUGUUAUUUGGAACAUUUAGGGUGAGAGGAAUUGGAUCUUUUGGGGUAGGGAAAGGGAGCACAGUGAGAUUUGGUCUUUGGCUAGAUUCAUGUUUCCUUUUGGGCUUUGAUUUCGAAGCAUUUUGUAAUUACUCAAUUUGUAACAUUUUUCUUAGUUGGUCUCCCUUCCGUUAGUAGGGUGUUUUGGUGGGCUGGGUUUUUUGUAUGCGCUUGCAUUCUUUCAUUCCUUCCCAACGAAAGCUGUUUGGUUCAUAAAAAAAAAAAACACUAAGAUUAUAGUUACGUAAAGGCAUAGUUGUUGAUGUCUAGAAGGGAGAGAAGAAACUUGUCCGUAGCAAAAUAUUGCCCUAAACUCAAGAGGACCUCCUUAAUAAAAGCAUAAUUGUUGUGGUAAGGCAACCCUAAUCCUCAACCCAAAGAUCCAAGCUUUUGUUGAAGCAAAAACCUCUGAAUCUAGGAAACCAACACCUCCUUAUACAAAAUUCAGAUUAACCUAGAGGAAAAAAAAGUCUCGAAUUAGAUUACCUCUUCGAUCAAAGAUUUAAAAUUCAGAUUUGGAAUCUUAUUCUAGAUUGAGUCCCUCCACUAUCAAACUUGAUAAAGGCUUGGUUGGCUCAUGUGCAUUCUUUCUCAAGAAUUGCUAGAAUAAUUUAGAUAAAGCAAAGUUAGUAGCUGAAUUCUAAGGUAAAGGGUCUCAAACAUGAGAAAUAUAUUUCAUUGAGAUCCAAAAAGUUUUCAUUUAACACUCAGUUUCUUGGCCUUGUAUAGCCAUUACGUGAGGUAACUCCCAACCCUUUAAAGGUACUCAUCGAAUUUUGUGGGAAGAUAUUUUGUAAGAACUUCCUUCUUUCGUCCACUUGGCUCGUUGGGUGGUGAGUCAAGGGAGAGAUACUUACUUUCAGAAGAUCAUUGGGUGGGGCAGAGACCUCUCUGUGUUAUGUUUCCUUGAUUGUAUCACUUGAAGUCUCUCAAGGUUCAUUCUCUUUCUGAUAGGGAAACAAUGGAUGUGGCUGGUCUUCUUUCUUUACUCGAGGGCCACCCCUUUAGACUAGAGAGAAGGGAUGUUAGAUUUUGGACCCCCAAUCCUUUGGAAGGGUUCUUGUGCAAGUCUUUAUUUCUUUGUUUGGUUGAUCUUUCCCCCUUAGGUGAGUCGGUCUUUUUGUUGCUUUGGAGGAAUAAGGUCCCUAGAAAGGUGAGGUUCUUUACUUGGCAGGUUCUUCAUGGUCGUACUUUUUUUUUUUUGAAAAGUAAACUAGCCUCUUUGUUGAUAAUAAUCAAGCUCAAAUUACAAAAAUUUUAUACAAAGAGCUAAACAAAAAGAGACCAUAGGAUUAGUUGGUGCACCUAGACAUCUUAAUUAGGUCGACACCCCCUUAAUGCUCUCAUCAUAUCCAAAAAAAAAAAAAAAAAUACAGGCCAAGAUACAAAAUGAAGUCUUACAAGAAUACAACAAGCAUGGGCUGUAAAGCCAAUAAACUAAGAAACAAGGAAAAAACAGCAGCACAAAAGAGGUAUGAAUGGCCUGAAGAAGUGUAGAGAAGAAUCUUUCAGUGAUAUCUGCAAAACAUGAGUCAUGAAGAAAAUGAUGGCUUCUAAUGCUCUGGAAAAAUGAGGGCCUGCCAAUUGAGACUGAUUCCUUGGAUGGAGAAUGCUUCAAAAUCUUUGUGUAGAGUACACCAAGCUGCACGUUUCUGUUAGCUAUCUCAAGGCAGUCUAACCAAAACAUCUCCUUACCAUGGAAGAUUCUUUGGUUCUGUUCAAACCAAAUAUCUGCAAACACAACCUUUGAUAAGUUUGCCCAAAUUAGUCUCGGUUUUUUUAAUAAGGGCCCCAACAAAACUUGAUGUACAUUUAGGCUAAGAGAUUCUCCAAAAACCCAAACAACUUCAAAAAUUGAGAACUUCCACAGACAAUUUGCAGAGUAGGAACAAGUAAAAAUCAAAUGCUGUAAAUCUUCUCCUUCUUGCUUGCACAGUGGGCAUAUUGAGGGUGAUAAGCAACUGUUUGGUAACUUUCUUUGCAUGACUGGAGCAGUUCAGGAGUCCAAAAAUCAUAGCCCAUAUGAUGAUGUUUACUCUCCUUGGGCGUUUAGAUUUCCACAAAGCUUUGUAUAGGUAUCUGUCAAAAGGAGACACUAACACAUUGGACAGGCUUGUUAGCAAGUUGCCUUUGCUUGUUAGGCCUUUUUGCUGUAUUCCUUGUCAGAAUGCGGUGGAAGACCUGGAGCAUGUUCUUUGGCGCUGUAGCUUAGCUAGUGGUGUCUGGGAAUCUUUUUUCCAGAUGUCUGGUAUGAUGAGUGUUUGUCAUAGUGUUAGUGCUAUGAUUGAGCCUCCUCAAUCUGCGUUUUGGGAGAAAUGCUAUUUCUUUGGCUUGCUGAAGUGUGUGACUUUGUAGGUUUUGUGGGUGAGCGGAACAAUAGGGUGUUUAGGGGAGUGGAGAGGGAUCCUAGGGAGUUUUAGUUGCUUGUUCGUUUUCGUUUUCAUUUUUUCCUGUGGGUUUUGAUUUCAAAGACAUUUUGUAAUUACUUUAUAGAUAGUUGGAAUUCCUUCUUGUAAAGGGGAGUCUCCAUUUUUUGUUUGCUUGAUUUUUUACCCAUGUAUUCUUUCAUUUUUUUUUCAAUUGGUUAUUUUCGGUAAAAAGAACCUCCCAGCCCUUGAAAUGUUCAAGAUCUAGAUACCAAAGUCAUGCUCAUAAUUACCAAGUAUUGUCAAUGAAAGUUGUCUAUUUUCAUUAAAAUAAAAAAAAAAAUAAUUAUCAAGUUUUGUAUCCCCUAAAAUUAUAAAUUCUAGCUUAAACUUAACACUUACAAGCUGGAAAUUAAUUAAACACAACUUAAGUUUAUCAAUGGCCAGUGGCAACUCAUUUGGCUCAUGGCUCAUAUCAUGUUGCGAUUCCAAGCCAGAGAUAAGCUAAAGGCUUAUUCCCAUCCAACGAAGCCUGAGAGCCUGGAGAAACUGAUUAGCCACAAGUGAUGUAAGUUCUGUAGCAGACACCUACAGAGAAUAUACCACUACAAGUGCAACAGAGAGGAAACUGUCUCUGAACACGAUCCAUAGUUGUGACUUUUUCUUGUUAAAUCUGCCUCAGAAUUUUUUAUCUUCCUAGGGGUUUUAACCUUCUAUAUAGAGGAGAAACAAAGGCAGUUUGGAAUGUGGAAGAGAGAAAUACCAUUGAAAAGAAAGAUUUGCAUGAGAAGUCCUUGAAAGAAGACUUGCUAAUUGCAAUAUUUAACCCUCAUUUAUGAAACCUAACAACAAAAAGGCGAAGGACAGACAAAAUGCGACUUCUUGCUUAAAAGAUGAUAUAAAUGCAAGAAAAACUCAUGAAGAGGUCAAAAGGCCACCUAAUAGUUCUCCUGGAACUAAACAUCCUAGGCCUCCCCAACAUAGCAUUUAACAAAUGAGGAAAAUGAUGGGAAGCCAAGUAAUUGGUUUCUAGAGUUUUAUAUUACACCCUUUGGCACCACCUUUUACAACCCUUUUGAAAAGGCAUGAGCCAUGCCGACUUACAAUUAUUUUAUACUACAAAGUAGCACAGUGCUCCAUGAAGAACUACCACAACCAUUUCACCAACAAACCCAAGUUAAGUAAUCUCACGCUUCCAAUCUCUAGACCACCCAACUCAACUGGCUUGGUUUCUUAUCUCUUCUCACAUUUGUAUCCUACUAGGAAAGGAAGCAUGAAUAUGACACAAUAUGAUGUCUUUGGGUAAGAAAUUGAGCUUUCAUAAAAAUUGAAAAUAAAGAGAGAGAGAGAGAGAGAAAAAAAAAAAAGAAAAAGAAGAAAAAGAAUAUAAAAAAUAGACGAAAAAGAAAGUUCACAAAAUGAGACUUUAAAAUCAUAUUUUGAAUAUUUAGGAAAUAAACCCGACAAGUACUUAUUUAUAAUAUACAUUUUUAUAAUUCUAUAUCAUUUCCAUGCAAUGAAAUUUAAAGUCAAUCAGUUACAUUCUGUAAAAAUAGUUGUUGGGUUACAGAUGUGUAUGGUCCCAAUGGCUACAAGGAGAGGAAAUUUGUUUGGCCUGAGCUAAUUUUUCUUUCAAGCUGUUGUUCACUAGUUUGGUGUAUUGGGGGAGAUUUUAACAUCACAAGAUGGGUUCAUGAAAGGUUUCCCGUGGGGAUAACCACCAGAGGUAUGAGGAAGUUUAAUGAUUUCAUUGAUCAAGCUAACCUAUUGGAAAUUCCUCUUUGUAAUGGCAAGAUUUACUUGGUCUUGUGAAGGAAGCUCGGUUGCAAGAUCUUUGUUAGAUUUUCCAUCACUAAGGUUGGGAUGAGGUGUUUGAUAGCUGAAGGGUUAACAGACAGCCAAGGAUUUUUUCUGAUCAUUUCCCCCUAUUACUAGAAGCUGGAUCUUUCAAUUGGGGCCCUUCACCUUUUAGAUUUUGCGACAGUUGGCUGUUGGAUAAAACAUUUGUUAAAUUGAUUGAAAGAACACGGAGGAGUAGUGUUGCUGAUGGUUGGCUGGAUUUGCUCUUAUUGCCAAGUUGAGAAAGGUGAAAGAAGCAAUUAAGAUUUGGUUUGUUGAUUUUCAGGAGAAAAAAAAAAGUGAAAGGAGCUGCUUGAUGAAAUUGAAAGGUGGGAUUCUCUUGCAGAAUUGAGGCAAAUUUCAGAAUAUGAAAAUGAUUUAAGAACUUUGAAGACGCUAGUUUCUUUCUUUCGUAGACUUCUGGCAGCAAGGAAAAGAAAGAAUUUGAUCACUUAAUUGGUUAAUGAACAAGGUGAGGACUUGGACAAAAAUCAAUGUGGCUGAUUCUUAAAAGUUUACAAAAGAAUUAAUCCGGACAUUGUACUGAUUCAAGAAUUUAGAAGAGACAGCUUCGAUAAAGCAUUCAGAUAUGAAAAGAUGUUGGCUGGACUUUUGUUGGAAGCUUUAAAGAGUUUCGGGGGCUUUUUACAAGGUAGGAUGAAGGUUUUUUCAGAGAGUAACAUUGCUAAAGCAGAUUUCUCUUUGACAUUGGAUUGCAUUGGCAGGACAUAUUUGAGGCAGCUGGUUGCAUCUUCUUAGCUUUCUCUUUCUCCUUUCAUCUUGAAGAUUUGGGUGUGCAAGAUUUUAGAUUUGAGUGGGCUAAUUUUGAGAGAGAGUUUAAGUUUUUCUUUGUAUUUAGCUUUAUAUUGGUGUAUUGUCUUUGAUAGGCUUUGUUUAGCUCGUUUUGUGUUCGGGUUCAUUUUUAGGUUUCCCUCAUAUUUAUGUUAAACCGAGUAUAGUCUUUGUUUAAGUUUUAGUUUGUAUUCUCCAUUAAUUCUUUUUGCUUUUAGUAUAAUACUCUUGUACUUUGAGCUUUAGUCUCAUUAUGCUUGUUUCCGUUUCAAAAGAAAAAAAAAUCAUUUAGAGAAAUUGAAGGUUUAAUCCUGGAUUUCUACAGAAAUCUUUACACCAAAAGUCUGGGUUCAAGACACCUUCCUUUGAAUGUCGAAUGGAUUGGUGUUUCACCAAGGCAGAAUUCUGCACGCGCAGGACAGUUUUUAGAAGGUGAUCAAGACGCUUGGUAAAAGCAAACCCCAGGUCUAGACGGGUUUACAGUUGAGUUUCUAUUGAAAUUUUGGGAUCUUACGAAGCCAAACUUCCUUUCUCUUUUCGAAGAGUUUUAUAAGAAUGGGAGAUUGAACGCGUGUGUCCAAGAGAACUUUAUUUGUUUAACUCAAAAGAAGGAAUUAGCAGUUGUUGUGAAGGAUUUCUGACCCAUCAGCUUAACUUCUUUGUCUUACAAAGUUAUUGUCAAGGAUCUAGCCAAGAGACUGAAAAAAGUAAUGCCAUCCAUCAUUGCUCUGACUCAGAGUGCAUCUAUCGAAGGAAUGCAAAUAUUGGAUCCAUUCCUAAUUGCCAAUGAGAUGGUAGAGGAGUAUAGGGCUAAAGAGAAGAAGGGUUGGAUACUAAAGCUCGACCUUGAAAAAGCAUUCGAUCGUGUUGAUCGGGAUUUUCUAGAAAAAAUCAUGUGAAAAACAGUUCGAGCAAAAACGGAUUAAGUGUAUAUUGGGUUGCUUAAAGAAUCCAAGGUACUCCAUUUUCAUUAAUGGUAAGCUGAGAGGGAGAGUUUUGGCAACUAGAGAAAUCCGACAAGGAGAUCCUCUAUCCCCAUUUCUUUUCCUCCUUGUGAGUGCGGUAGUGGACGAACUUCAUCAAAAUGGAUUAUAUGAAGGAUUCACAGUCGGUGAAGAAAGAACUCACGUUCUCAUUCUCUAGUUUGCAGACGACACCCUUUUAUUUUGUAAGUAUGACUGUCAUGCUCACCAAGCUCAAGCAAGUUAUAGAAUUUUAUGAGUGGUAUCGAGUCAGAAGGUGAACUUGGACAAAUUGGCAUUGUGCAGCAUUAAUAUUGAGGAAAAUGAGCUUGCUGCCAUUGCUGCAAGUUUGCAAUGAGGCUGAAAGAUUACUGUUAGAACACUUACUAACAACAACAAGAACAAGAUCUUAAUUUAUUAUAAUGAACUAUAAGAAAAUACAAGAUAAACCCAAGUAUAAGACACUUGGAACCUCCCUUUUGAGUACUUUCAACCAAGCCCUAAAUCACUCUACAGAAUAACCUCCCUCUCUCACUUACCCUCCCUCUAUUUAUAACAAGAUGUAACCACCCUAGUAACGACACUUACAUAAUAACUACUAGUAACCAUACUUACACAAUAACUACUAGUAACUUCCUAAAUAUCGAAUUACCCUUAUACCCCUAGUCCUAUACUAAUCUAAUUACCCUUAUACAAGAUAAACCCAUGUAUACUAAUCUAGGUAUCUAACACGUGCCUUUUCUGUAUCUUGGCUUACCAUUGGGGUGCCCAAAACAAAUCUCUUUUGGCAACCAGUGACUGAUAAGGUGCAAGCCAAACUUGCUAAAUGGAUGAGAUUCAACCUUUCCGGAGGAGGAAGAACCACAUUAUGUAAAUUGGUCCUAUCCAACCUUCCAACCUAAUGCCCGAAGAUGUCAUCUCAACAUUCGAAAUGAAAAGUCAUAAUGGUAGUAAUAUUUCCCACUUAGUUAAGUGGGAAAUAGUUAAUAAAUCUACUACGGAUGAUGGGCUUGGGUUAGGUGGUUUGAAAGAAAAAAAACCUGGCCCUUCUUGCUAAAUGGGGGUGGCGGUUCUUAGAGGAAGAGGAUUCAUUGUGGCACAAGGUGGUCAGUAGCGUUCAUGGAAUGGAUAUGUAUAAUUGGCACACAAUUGGAAAAGGUGGAAAGAGUUUAUGAAGCCCUUGAGUAUUUCCCAAACUUGGUUGAAAGUGGUAGCUUUGGCCAAAUUCAAUUUGGAAAAGGGAGUCGGAUUGCAUUUUGGUUAGGCACUUGGGAGAAUGCAACUCCUUUUAAUAUUCAGUUUCUAAGACUGUUUAUAAUUGCUUUACUUCCGAAAGGUUCAAUUGCAAAGCAUUGGGAUUCUCAGUUAAAUUCUUGGGCUAUUAAUUUCUGUCGACUUCUAAAGGAAGAGGAGAUAGCCGAAUUGAAUCUGAUUGGUAAAAGUUCAGCAAGAAGAAUCUCGGAGGAUUUUGAUAAAAGAGUUUGGUUCUUAGGGACUAGUGGAAGAUUUUCGGUAAAAUCUUUCACAACUCAUCUUUCCCCAUCCUCCCCACUGAAUAAGGUGCUGCAUAUGGCUUUAUGGAGGACUAGCAGCCUAAGAAAAGUUAACAUUCUUGUUUGGAUUUUGCUGGUUGGUCACUUGAAUACAUCUUUAGUUUUGCAGCACAAAUUAUUGUUCAGCUGCCUUUCUCCCUCGAUUUGUCCAUUUUUUCAUCAACAUGGAGAAGAUUUGAUUCAUCUCUUUUUCUUAUGCCUGUACUAUGCUAAGUGUUGGCAAACUCUAUUCUCUGUUUUCAAUAUGUCCUAGGUGUUUAAACAAGAUUGUAGAGAUUCUGUAAGGCAACUUCUAGGAGGUUCUUGUUUCAAUAAGACCUAACGAUGAAUUUGAUUUAAUACGGUAAAAGCAUUUUUGGUGGAAUUAUAGUUUGAAAGAAAUCAAAGGGUUUUUCAUGACAAAUCCCUCAAAUGGCUAGAUCGUUACGAAGUUGCUCACGGACAUGCUUCAUCGUGGUGCAUCCUUUCUAAAGAUUUUGACAGCUACUACAUCUCAGAUUUCAAUCUGAAUUGGAGCCCUUUUGAUCCUAAGCUUAACCAUGAAUUGGUGUAGAUGGGUCGUCUCGCUUGCUUUUUGAUUGCCCUUUACCAGUUUUGAUAAAUUUUUGUUUUAUCAAAGAUUGUCUCUUUGUUUUCCAUGUAUUAAUAUCUUAUGUUGUGGAGACUAUUUGUUUUGCCCUUUUAGUCAUGCUUGUUAUUUCUUAUUUUGGAUAUGAUGAGGGCACUAUGGGGGUGUCAACUUAAGAAGCACGGACACUUCAGUUUGGAUAGCGUGUCCUAUGUCGGACACGUGUCGGACACUUGGACACUCUGACACUUGGUGGACACCUAUUGGACGCUUGUUAGCCAUGCCUAGAACACUUAUUGAGUGGACUAAAAAGACAUAUAUAUGAAUAAUAAUAAUUUUUUAGCAUGGAGUACAUUAAGCUACGUCUUUUAAGCAUAUAAAUGCAUAAAUUCAUUUACUAUGAACUUUCUUGGUCUAUAAAAAUGAUAUAUAUAUAUAUUUUAAAAAUGAAUAUUUUAAUAGCUAAGUCUUUUAAGCCUAUAAAUGCAUCAAUUCAUUUACUAUGAACUUUCUUGGUCUAUAAAAAUGAUAUAUAUUUUUUAAAAUGACUAUUUUAAUAAAUGUGUCCUUGUGUCGUACCUGAGAUUUUUAAAAUAUGGUGUCCCCAUGUCUGUGUCGUGUCGUAUUAAUAUCUUAUGUUGUAGAACUGUUUGUUUGGCCCUUUUAGUCAUGAUUGUUAUUACUUAUUUUGGAUACGAUGAGGGCGCUAUAGGGUGUUAACUUAGUUGAAAUGUUCUGGUACGUCUACUGAUCCUUAGGUUAUUUUGCUCAUUGUAUAACUCUCUUGUACUAUGAGCUUAAUUCUUAUUUUUAUCUAAUAAAAGAGGUUUGUUUCCCUUUCAAAAAAAAAAAAAAAAAAGAAAAAAGAAAAAGGAAAAAAAUCAGUUUAUGCAUUUAUAUGUUAAAAGAAUGAGUUUGAUGUAUUUUCACUCACAAAAUUGUAUAGCUACUGUCUUACACGUAUUUAUUAGGGUGACAAGUAUCUGAUACAUGUCCAUUAAGUAUCAGAGUGUCCAGUGUUUGACAAGUAUCUGAUACUAGCCAAAUUAAAGUGUCUAUGCCCCUUUGAUGAUGUAUUUCAUAAGAUAUAGAUAUUGAUCCAAAGAUUCAAAGGCUGGAUCAACAGAUUCGUAGUCACAAAUUUACUUCCGUUUGCAUUAUUAAAGUUGUCUCUUAAAAAAUUGAUUUACCUAAUAUUUGUAACCUGUACCAAAGGAGUUCACAGCUUGAUGUGCUUCACUCAUUCUGUCAUGGUGGUUAAGUUGGUAGGGGGGCCAUGUUAUUUUGUUCAUGUGUAAACUUGGUUUUCUGUUAGGGGUCGUUUGAGUUGAAUUUUGAAGUUAAGAAAUUUGCGUUUGGGAUGUAGCGUUGUAAGAUUAAGUUCCUCGAAUAAACGUGCAAACUCAAUAAUGAACACUAUUAAAGUUGAGUUAUUUAGAGUUAUUUAAUACUAAAUUAUGAGGUUGGUGGGCCACACCCUCUUAA